rnacentral:rRNA from 1 species
AGUGAACGCUGGCGGUAGGCCUAACACAUGCAAGUCGAACGGCAGCACAGUAAGAGCUUGCUCUUACGGGUGGCGAGUGGCGGACGGGUGAGGAAUACAUCGGAAUCUACUUUUUCGUGGGGGAUAAUGUAGGGAAACUUACGCUAAUACCGCAUACGACCUACGGGUGAAAGCAGGGGAUCUUCGGACCUUGCGCGAUUGAAUGAGCCGAUGUCGGAUUAGCUAGUUGGCGGGGUAAAGGCCCACCAAGGCGACGAUCCGUAGCUGGUCUGAGAGGAUGAUCAGCCACACUGGAACUGAGACACGGUCCAGACUCCUACGGGAGGCAGCAGUGGGGAAUAUUGGACAAUGGGCGCAAGCCUGAUCCAGCCAUACCGCGUGGGUGAAGAAGGCCUUCGGGUUGCAAAGCCCUUUUGUUGGGAAAGAAAAGCAGCAGGUUAAUACCCCGCUGUUCUGACGGUACCCAAAGAAUAAGCACCGGCUAACUUCGUG